rnacentral:tRNA from 1 species
GGCAGGGUAGCUCAGUCGGUGGAGCAGCGGAUUCAUAAACCGCAGGUCGUGGGUUC